UAACGGCGAGUGAAGCGGCAACAGCUCAAAUUUGAGAUCUGGCCCCAGGCCCGAGUUGUAAUUUGCANNAGGAUGCUUUUGGCGCGGUGCCUUCCGAGUUCCCUGGAACGGGACGCCAUAGAGGGUGAGAGCCCCGUACGGUUGGACACCAAGCCUUUGUAAAGCUCCUUCGACGAGUCGAGUAGUUUGGGAAUGCUGCUCAAAAUGGGAGGUAUAUUUCUUCUAAAGCUAAAUAUAGGCCAGAGACCGAUAGCGCACAAGUAGAGUGAUCGAAAUGAUGAAAAGCACUUUGAAAAGAGGGUUAUACAGCAGCGUGAAAUUGUUAAAAGGGAAGCGCUUGUGACCAGACUUGCGUCCGGUGAAUCACCCNANCUCUCGCGGCUGGGGCACUUCGCCGGCACAGGCCAUGCAUCAGCUUGCCGUCGGGGACAAAAGCGUUCAGGAACGUAGCUCUCUUCGGGGAGUGUNAUAGNCCUGUUGCAUAAUACCCUUCGGCGGGCUGAGGUACGCGCUCCUCAAGGAUGCUGGCGUGAUGGUCAUCAGCGACCCGUCUUGANCNGNAGU
rnacentral:rRNA from 1 species